rnacentral:lncRNA from 1 species
CUCGGAGCUCUUUCAUUGCAAUCUUUAAAGCUAAUGAACAUUAAGGAAGAUACAUCAGACAUUACAUAAACUUUACAAGAAGAAACUCCUGUUUGCCAUUGACUUCAGAUAAAAGUUUUCUUGAUAAGUCACUGACUGCAGGGAAAAAGGAAAAGGACAGUCUCACGACUCACCUUAAGAGGAUCAGUUUCACAACUCACCUUGGAUGUUUUCUGAGGUCGCUCCUCAGGUGCUCUGGUUUUGCCUCACCUUCACCCAUUAGGGGGUCUGGUACACUCUCAGUGUUGCCAUUUUCUUCUUGUAACUCUGAUCCUUCGUACUAACGAAACACGUUAAUGUUUGAUAAUUAAUAUAGUUAUGAAACAUGCAUGAAUUGCAUCCAAAUACUGAGGAGUAUGAAAACAAAUUAUCUUACAUCAGGCUAGGGCUCUAUGGGCUCAUCCUCAUAUCUGCAUCAAUAUACAUAGUUAAAUGACUAAUACAUAUAAAAGAAACCAAAUGACCUUUCCUACAGUUCAACAUAAUUUCUUCACAAUAACUAAAUAAACAAUGGACGACAAAAAGGAACCAGUAAAAUUAAGCUUCUGUGUAACAAUAAAGGAUAACUUUUUGUAUAACUAACCACGUCAAAACAAUACUAACGCACAAGGUCCGUGCCAUGCCACUAUCACUAGAUACAGAAUCCCCAGAAUUUGUGACUUCAUGGUUCCAUGAGAUGCAUCUCCUGAGGCUCAAGCAUGCAGAAGAUUUGAGAAACUCUAGCGAGUAAACUUCAACUUUAACUCCUUAAGCUAAUUGCGCCCUAUGGCUUCAUCUUACUCUGACACUUAACUACCGCCCUCAUAGAAACUCAAUUCACGUUCAAGAAGUUACUGGACUUCUUGAAGUUUGGUAUACUCCAUCAUGCGAUUAGCUAAUCAUAUUUCAAACAGUGGAAAAAGCUCAUACAACAUCAAAAGCCCCAUGGCCCAAACCACCCACAUUGCUACCCCUCCAUCACCAUCCCUAAUAGUGAAUGUUCUCGCUCUGCAGCAAGUCAAUCAAACCAGGAACAUUUAAACAAUACAACAAAGCUCCAACUUUGCUAAGGGAAAUAAUAAUAGCAUUGUGAGCCAAAGGAAUCGAUCAAUGAAAACCAUGUUGGUUUCAAGACAAUGGAACAUUGAGUUAAUUGAUGCACUUAUAGAUGGUGGUUACCAACAAAGUGCUUAUGAUCAUUCAAUCUUUAUCUAGAAGAUUGGUUUUGACAUUAUUGUUGUCUUAGUUGGUUUUGACAUUGUUGUUGUCUUAGUUUAUGUGGAUGAUCUCUUCAUCACUGAGAGCAACCUCGAGUUGAUUCAACAAGCAAAUGAUACAUUCCAUAGAGCAUUCAAGGUCAAGGAACUAGUUCAGUUGAGACAUUUUCUUGGAAUUGAAGCGUUGAUAUAAACUAAAGUAUUCUACUUAACUAGAGGUGAGUAUGUGUUUGAGUUGAUCUCUGAAAUUGGUUUGAGUGGAGCUAAGCCAGCUGUGACAUCUAUGGAGCUUAACCAGAAGCUCACUGCCGUAGAACUAGAAUAUGACAUUCAUGUGGGAAAAACUGAUGAUCCAGAAUUAGUUGAUGUACUCAGUCAGUUCAUGCAAAAACCUAAGCACUCUCACAUGGGUGCUCCUGGUCUGGAAAUUCUAUACAAAGCAAGUAAUAUCAAUACUAUGAUUAUAAAUUGUGAUGUUCUGACUGGGCAGCUUACCCUAACACUACGAGAUCAGUGGCAUGGUCAAGUUAGGUGACUCCUUGAUUUCAUGGAAAUCUAAGAAGCAGCAUACAGUUAGCAGUAAGCACGAGCUCUGCAGAGGCAGAGUACUGGAGUGUGGUUGUGGCAACAGCAAAGUGCAGAGAUCACCUGGUUAGUUGGUUUCUUGGCUGAGCUUGGUUGGAAUUACAAUUGCCUGUGCAAUUGUAUAGUGAUAAUAAAGUUGCUCUUCACGUAGCAGUUAAUUCCAUCUUCCAUGAGAGGAUCAAACACAUUGAUAUAGAUUGUCAUUUUGUCCGGAAAAGUUCAAGUGGGGGUUGAUUACGAAUGCUUAUAUUGCUACUGAAUUGCAAUUAUCUGAUCUUAUGGCCAAAGGACACACUGGUUCUCUUCCAAACUUAAAGUGUUUGACGCCUUACCCUCCACCCUACAACUUGGGGGGGAGUACCGGAUACCACCCUCCGACUUGGGGGGGAGUACCGGAUAUAUAUUGACACAAGUGUGAAAGGCUCUUUAGUCACAAUGUAAUAACAUAGAGGCCUUAGUUGUCUUUUCCUGACUUGAUCAGUUGAGUCACUUGCCUAGUUCGGAGAAGAUUUUUAUAGGAGGGGAUUUUAAUGGGCACAUCGGGUCAUUGCCGUUAAGGUAUGAUGAUGUGCAUGGAGGCUUUGGGUUCGGGGUUAGGAAUGAUGAGGGAGCUGCUCUUUUGGAGUUUGCAAGGACCUUUGGGUUGGUGGUAGUGAAUCCCAGUUUUCCGAAGAAGGAGCAUCUGGUUACUUUCCGUAGUAGGUUAGCCAAAACUCAGAUUAACUUUUUGCUGCUUAGGAACGGGGAUAGAGCUUUGUGUAAGGAUUGUAAGGUAAUCCCAAGUGAGAAUUAUGCGACCCAGCAUAGCAUAGACUCCUAGUGAUGGACCUGGCUAUCAAGAAGGGCAAGAAAAGGCGGGGUGGGAAGGGUCCACCUAACUCUAGGUGGGGCGGACAGACUCCGAUUAGUGCUUUGGAGAUAGGGGCGAAGUUGGAGGGGAUGGGGGUGUGGGAGUGUGGGGGGACGUGGAUAGUAUGUGGGAUAGGGUUGCUGGUUGCAUCAAGGAGUCUGCUAGAGAGGUGUUGGGUGUAUCAAGGGGCUGGUCUGGCCAGUAUCCGGGGGAUUAGUGGUGGAAUGAAGAUGUUAAGAAGAAGGUGGAGACAAAGAAGGCGGCUUAUGCUAAGUUGGUUAAGAGUAAGGAUGAAGAGGAGAAGCGGGUGAGCAGGGAGGAGUACAAGUUAGCUAAGAAGGAGGCUAAGUUAGUAGUUACGGCUGCUAAGACAGCAGCUUUUGAGAGUUUGUAUAAGAGGUUAGAGGAGAAAGGUGGGAAAAAAGGUUGUUUAGGCUUGCCAAGGUUAAGGAGUGGAAGGGGCGGGAUCUGGAUCAAGUGAAGUGCAUUAAGGGGGAGGAUGGCAGAGUAUUGGUUGAAGAUGACCUCAUUAAGAAAAGAUGGCAGUUGUAUUUCCAUAGGCUGUUGAAUGAGAAGGCGGACAGAGGUGUGUUAGGGGAGUUGGAGUACUACGGGGAGUGUCGCGAUUUCGACUAUUAUCGGCAUUUUAAGGUAGAGAAGGUUAGUGAGGCUAUUCGCAAGAUGCGAAGGGGCAGGGCGACGGGGCCCGACGAGAUCCCGGUGGAUUUUUGGAAGUUUUCUAGCGGGGCAGGGUUGAGGUGGCUAACCAACUUGUUUAACAACAUUUUCAAGUCCGCAAGGAUGCCCGAGGCCUGGAGAUGGAGCACGAUGAUUCCUUUAUAUAAGAACAAGGGUGACAUUCAAAGUUGCAACAACUAAAGGGGUAUUAAGUUGUUGAGUCACACGAUGAAGAUUUGGGAGAGGGUGGUGGAGCGGAGGUUGAGGAAGAUUGUGUCUAUUUCGGAGAAUCAAUUUGCAUUUAUGCCUGGUCGCUUCACGAUUGAGGCAAUUCACCUAGUGCGGAGAUUGGUAGAGCAGUAUAGAGAAAGGAAGAGGGAUCUGCAUAUGGUGUUUAUUGACUUGGAAAAGGCGUAUGACAAGGUUCCGAGGGAGGUUCUGUAGAGAUGCUUGGAGGCGAGGGGAUCCCUGUGGCGUACAGCAAAGUGAUUAGGGACAUAUAUGAGGGGGCGAAGACUCGGGUAAGGACAGUGGGAGGAGAUUCCGAGCAUUUCCCUAUCUUGACAGGAUUGCACCAGGGAUCAACUCUUAGUUCGUUUUUAUUCGCCUUGGUGAUAGAUGUGUUGACGCGGAGUAUACAAAGUGAGGUGCCUUGGUGUAUGCUUUUUGCGGAUGAUAUAGUUUUGAUUGAUAAGUCGCGACAAGGUGUUAAUGAUAAGCUGAAGGUUUGGAGACAAACCCUGGAGUCUAAAGGUUUCCGAUUGAGUAGGACUAAGACGGAGUACUUGGAGUGCAAGUUUAGUGACUUGAGGAAAAAGGAGAAGGUGGUAGUGAAGUUGGAUUCCCAGACGGUUUGCAAGAGGGAUAGUUUUAUGUAUCUUGGGUCCACGAUUCAGGGGAAUGGAGAGAUAAAUGAGGAUGUCUCUCACCAUAUUGGGGCAGGUUGUAAGAAAUAGAGGCUCGCUUCAGGAAUUUUAUGCGAUAAGAAGGUGCCCCCUAAGUUGAAAAGCAAAUUCUAUAGAAUCGCAGUACAGCCAGCUAUGUUACAUGGAGUGGAGUGUUGGCUGGUUAAGAAUUCUCAUAUCCAAAAGUUGAAGGUGGCGAAAAUGAGGAUGUUGCGUUGGAUGUGUGGAUUUACAAGGGCUGAUAGGGUUAGGAAUGAGAUUAUUCAGGAGAAGGUGAGUGUGGUGUCGGUGGAGAAUAAAAUGCGAGAAGUGAGGUUGAGAUGGUUUGGUCAUGUGAUAAGGAGGGGUACGGAUGCUCCGGUUCGUAGGUGUAAGAGGUUGGCCUUGGAUGGUUUCAAGCGGGGUAGGGGUAGACCGAAGAAAUACUAGAGGAAAGUGAUUAAACGUGACAUGGAGUAGUUACAGCUGACUGAGGACAUGACCCUAAAUAGAAAGGUAUGGAGGAAAAACAUUAGGAUAGAGGGAUAAGGUGUGUGGGUGAGUCGUAGCCCGUAGUUAGGAGGGUUUUGGGGUCUUUUGUUUGGCAAUAUACAAUAUUUUUGUGGAUGUCGUUCCUAUGUUAUUUUAUCAUGUCCCAUGCUUUUGAUGUUUUUUGUAUACUGUCCUUUGUCUUGAGCCGAGGAUCUAUGGGAAACAGCCUCUCUACUUCUUUACAGAUAGUGAUAUGGACUGCGUACAUUCUAGCCUCCCCAGACCCCACGAUGUGGGAAUAUACUGGGUUUGUUGUUGUUGAUUAGUUGAGCCACUGGUAAGCCUUUUAAGAGGCAAUAAAAGUCAAUUUUAGUACACAAUUUACAUUUCCUGCAAAAUAUCUUCUCUUCUCCAUCCAACACAGCCCAACUAUUGAGUGCUCCCUUUUUCCUAUCUGAACUAUCAUCAUCGAUGUACUAAACACAGCUCGAAGCUGACUAGGCCAACUAUCAAUUAUUUUGUUUUCCUAACCGGCCGAUCACCAUCAAAGACAGAGCUAGAACUUUAACUUUAUGGGUUCCAAAUUUUAGAAGGGCCAUUUCAAUUACUAAAAAUAACGUUCUAAAUUUAUUAUUUAUACAUAUUUAAUGAAUUCUUAAACACAAAUGCAUUGUUUGAACAAAAGUUACUGGGAUCAGCCAAACCUGUAUUCGGCUUCUAGCUCUGUCCCUUAUCUACAUAGAUGGUGGUAGUUCAGGCAUGAAAAAAGAACAGCCAAUAAUAGUUGGGGUGUGAAACAAUCACUACACCGAAAAAAGAUAUUUAGUAGCAAUUAUUUAACAACAAUAGCUUAAUUGCCGCUAAAUUAUGUUUUCUAGAGGAAAUUACUAGUGACAAAAACAUUUUAGCACUCUUUAUAAAUGUCCCCGAAGCCUAUAACGACAUUUGUAUCCAAUGAGAAUUAACUAACGCCAGUAAAAAUUUAGUUCUCUUAAUUAAAAUGCAUAUUUAUUGCCGCUAAAAAGGUUGGGCCUCAUAUUUCUCCAAUAUACCACGUUCAUAUGGUGGUGCAAUGUGGUACGUGACUCCACGCUUGAAGGUGAUACCACAGUGGUACAAUUAGGACCUCAAUAUGGUUUUAUUCUGUUUAUCAUAGCGGAAUUUAUGUUCUUUUUUGCUCUUUUCGGGCUUUUUCUCAUUCUUCUUUGGCACUUAAAAGCCUUUAUUGUUGUAGUGAGUGGUAAUUUACUAUUAUCUCACAACAAAAACAGGAAAAGAAAGAGGCAAUUUUUUACUAACCUUUCUUGACGAAGAAAAAACCGUAUAUAGUCAAAAAGAAAAUAGUAUUACACAAAAACCAGAUAAAAAAUAUUCAAUAAUAUAAUAUUCAAAAAUAAUGGUAGUAGGAAUUACCUCCAUCCCUAUCAUAGUCCUCGUCUGCCAUUGUUGAAUCCGUUUGAGAACUCCGUUGAAUCCAAUGACAAUUAACUAAAGCCGUAAAAAUUCUAAUACUCGUUACUAAAAUGCAUAUUUAUUGCCCUUUAUUGGUGCAGUGAGUGAUGGUUCAGGUGCAUUCUUUACCAUUAUCUCAAAAACAAUACACAUAAAUCACGUCAAAAGGUUCAAUAAUAAUAAUACGAAAUAAUUAGUAAAAAUGGUAGCAUAAAUUACCCUCCGUUCAUAUUAUAGUCGUCUUCGCCCACUGUUGAAUCCGAAGAAUAUGAAGGAUAGGUGGAAAGGGAAAUACUGAACUUCCCAUAGGAAACCUUUUCACAUAAAUUAAUGUUCUACUGUAAUACCUAUAUAGCCCCUUAAGACUUUUUUAUAUUGAAAUCCGAAUAAUUUAGAUUGAGAUUGCUCCAUAUUAGAGCCUAUUUUUUUUUUUUUGGUUUACACCACCUGGUGUUCGAUAUCCACUUUUUAGGAGUCCAACUAUAUUCAAAUUUUCCCUGCGUCGGGUGCCAUUUGGGGGAGAGCUUCCAACAGAGUGGGUCGAACCCUCGACCUCUGAGUAGGUUGGGGCAGCCCCUUUCCGC